GCACUGCUGAAGAGUCCCACAAUAGGACGAAACGGCCAUCCUAUAC
rfam:Schistosoma rodhaini strain Burundi genome assembly, scaffold: SROB_scaffold0008508